rnacentral:tRNA from 1 species
GGAGAGGUGCCAGAGUGGACGAAUGGGGCGGUCUCGAAAACCGUUGUAGCGCCUUGCGUUACCGUGAGUUCGAAUCUCACCCUCUCCG